CCUCCCCGUCGUGCUGUUGCCCGAUCUGGCGCGAACGCUGGCCGAUCGCCAGAUUUCCGCCGCCGUCAGCAUUGAUGUGCGCAAUAUGCCUGAAUCACCUGAGAUUUUUGAACAGGCGAUGAAUAAUCUGCCUGGCGCUUUCUCGCCGCAAUUGCUGUUUCUUGAUGCCGACCGCAAUACCUUGAUUCGCCGCUACAGCGACACGCGCCGUUUGCAUCCGCUUUCCAGCAAAAAUCUUUCUUUAGAGAGUGCGAUCGAUAAAGAGAGUGACUUGCUGGAGCCGUUACGCUCACGUGCGGAUCUGAUCGUCGACACUUCAGAAAUGUCCGUCCAUGAGCUGGCGGAGAUGCUGCGUACC
rnacentral:misc_RNA from 1 species